AAUUAAACCUGAUAGCGCCAAAUAGCUCCCGAUUUAAGAAAAUAUUGUAUUUAAGAAAAUUCAAAUCGGGACUAUAGGCAAUAGCAGGGCUGAAA
rnacentral:sRNA from 1 species